rnacentral:rRNA from 1 species
UACGUAGGGUGCAAGCGUUAAUCGGAAUUACUGGGCGUAAAGCGUGCGUAGACGGUUAUGUAAGUCAGAUGUGAAAGCCCCGGGCUCAACCUGGGAAUUGCAUUUGAGACUGCAUAGCUAGGGUGCGGAAGAGGGAAGCGGAAUUUCCGGUGUAGCGGUGAAAUGCGUAGAUAUCGGAAGGAACACCAGUGGCGAAAGCGACUUCCUGGUCCAGCACCGACGUUCAGGCACGAAAGCGUGGGGAGCAAACAGG